rnacentral:rRNA from 1 species
GACGAACCGUGCGAACGUUGUUCGGAAUCACUGGGCGUAAAGGGCGCGUAGGCGGUCACGCAAGUCCGGUGUGAAAGCCCCCAGCUCAACUGGGGAAGGGCCUUGGAAACUGCGGGUCUCGAGGGAGGUAGGGGCAUGUGGAACUUCGGGUGGAGCGGUGAAAUGCGUUGAUAUCCGAAGGAACGCCGGUGGCGAAAGCGACGUGCUGGAUCUCUUCUGACGCUGAGGCGCGAAAGCCAGGGUAGCGAACGGG